GACGAACGCUGGCGGCGUGCUUAACACAUGCAAGUCGAACGGAAAGGCCCCUUUGGGGGUACUCGAGUGGCGAACGGGUGAGUAACACGUGAGUAACCUGCCCUUGACUUCGGGAUAACUUCAGGAAACUGGGGCUAAUACCGGAUAGGAAUCCUUGCUGCAUGGUGGGGGUUGGAAAGCUUCGGCGGUUUUGGAUGGACUCGCGGCUUAUCAGCUUGUUGGUGGGGUAGUGGCUUACCAAGGCUUUGACGGGUAGCCGGCCUGAGAGGGCGACCGGCCACAUUGGGACUGAGAUACGGCCCAGACUCCUACGGGAGGCAGCAGUGGGGAAUAUUGCACAAUGGGCGGAAGCCUGAUGCAGCAACGCCGCGUGCGGGAGGACGGCCUUCGGGUUGUAAACCGCUUUCAGCAGGGGCGAAGCUUGUGGUGACGGUACCUGCAGAAGAAGCACCGGGUAACUACGUG
rnacentral:rRNA from 1 species